rnacentral:rRNA from 1 species
AUUCUGGACCAAUACUGACACUGAGGGACGAAAGCGUGGGGAUCAAUCGAGAGGAUAUUCCCUGCCACGACACGCUGUAAACGAUGACCACUACAUGGUGGAUUCGGUGUAAAGGAUCUAGUGGCGUAGCUAACGCGUUAAGUACUCCGCCUGGGGACUACGGCCGCAAGGCUAAAACUCAAAGGAAUUGACGGGGACCCGCACAAGCGGUGGAGCAUGUGGUUUAAUUCGAUGCAACGCGAAGAACCUUACCUGGUCUUGACAUCCUGCGAACUUUCUAGAGAUAGAUUGGUGCCUUCGGGAACGCAGUGACAGGUGCUGCACGGCUGUCGUCAGCUCGUGUUGUGAAAUGUUGGGUUAAGUCCCGCAACGAGCGCAACCCCUAUUGAUAGUUACCAUCAUUAAGUUGGUUACUCUAUUGAGACUGCCGCUGACAAGGCGGAGGAAGGUGGGGACGACGUCAAGUCAUCAUGGCCCUUACGACCAGGGCUACACACGUGCUACAAUGGGUAUUACAGAGGGCAGCGAAGUAGCGAUAUGGAGCGAAACUCAGAAAGGUACUCUUAGUCGGGAUUGCAGCCUGCAACUCGACUGCAUGAAGUCGGAAUCGCUAGUAAUCGCAGGUCAUAAUACUGC